UACGUAGGGGUGCAAGCGUUUAAUCGGAAUUACUGGGCGUAAAGCGUGCGCAGGCGGUUAUAUAAGACAGGUUGUGAAAUCCCCGGGCUCAACCUGGGAACUGCAUCUGUGACUGUAUAGCUAGAGUACGGUAGAGGGGGAUGGAAUUCCGCGUGUAGCAGUGAAAUGCGUAGAUAUGCGGAGGAACACCGAUGGCGAAGGCAAUCCCCUGGACCUGUACUGACGCUCAUGCACGAAAGCGUGGGGAGCAAACAGG
rnacentral:rRNA from 1 species